rnacentral:rRNA from 1 species
GACGAACGCUGGCGGCGUGCUUAACACAUGCAAGUCGAACGGUAAGGCUCCAGCUUGCUGGGGUACACGAGUGGCGAACGGGUGAGUAACACGUGGGUGACCUGCCCUGCACUUCGGGAUAAGCCUGGGAAACUGGGUCUAAUACCGGAUAGGACCGCACCGUGAGGGUGUGGUGGAAAGUUUUUUCGGUGUGGGAUGGGCCCGCGGCCUAUCAGCUUGUUGGUGGGGUAAUGGCCUACCAAGGCGGCGACGGGUAGCCGGCCUGAGAGGGUGGACGGCCACAUUGGGACUGAGACACGGCCCAGACUCCUACGGGAGGCAGCAGUGGGGAAUAUUGCACAAUGGGCGGAAGCCUGAUGCAGCGACGCCGCGUGGGGGAUGACGGCCUUCGGGUUGUAAACUCCUUUCACCAUCGACGAAGGGUUUCUGACGGUAGAUGGAGAAGAAGCACCGGCUAACUACGUGCCAGCAGCCGCGGUAAUACGUAGGGUGCGAGCGUUGUCCGGAAUUACUGGGCGUAAGGAGCUCGUAGGUGGUUUGUCGCGUCGUCUGUGAAAUUCCGGGGCUUAACUCCGGGCGUGCAGGCGAUACGGGCAUAACUUGAGUACUGUAGGGGAGACUGGAAUUCCUGGUGUAGCGGUGAAAUGCGCAGAUAUCAGGAGGAACACCGGUGGCGAAGGCGGGUCUCUGGGCAGUAACUGACGCUGAGGAGCGAAAGCAUGGGGAGCGAACAGGAUUAGAUACCCUGGUAGUCCAUGCCGUAAACGGUGGGCGCUAGGUGUGGGUUUCCUUCCACGGGAUCCGUGCCGUAGCUAACGCAUUAAGCGCCCCGCCUGGGGAGUACGGCCGCAAGGCUAAAACUCAAAGGAAUUGACGGGGGCCCGCACAAGCGGCGGAGCAUGUGGAUUAAUUCGAUGCAACGCGAAGAACCUUACCUGGGCUUGACAUAUACAGGAUCGCGCCAGAGAUGGUGUUUCCCUUGUGGCUUGUAUACAGGUGGUGCAUGGUUGUCGUCAGCUCGUGUCGUGAGAUGUUGGGUUAAGUCCCGCAACGAGCGCAACCCUUGUCUUAUGUUGCCAGCACGUUGUGGUGGGGACUCGUAAGAAACUGCCGGGGUUAACUCGGAGGAAGGUGGGGAUGACGUCAAAUCAUCAUGCCCCUUAUGUCCAGGGCUUCACACAUGCUACAAUGGUCGGUACAGUGGGUUGCCAGUCCGUGAGGGCGAGCUAAUCCCGCAAAGCCGGUCUCAGUUCGGAUCGGGGUCUGCAACUCGACCCCGUGAAGUCGGAGUCGCUAGUAAUCGCAGAUCAGCAACGCUGCGGUGAAUACGUUCCCGGGCCU